GACGUAGGGCGCGAGCGUUUGUCCGGAUUUAUUGGGCGUAAAGAGCUCGUAGGCGGCUUGUUGCGUCAGCUGUGAAAACCUGCAGCUUAACUGUGGGCGUGCGGUCGAUACGGGCAUCACUGGAGUUCGGCAGGGGAGACUGGAAUUCCGGGUGGAGCGGUGAAAUGCGUAGAGAUCCGGAGGAACACCGAAGGCGAAGGCAGUCUCCUGGCAAGUUACUGACGCUCAGGUGCGAAAGCUAGGGGAGCGAACAGG
rnacentral:rRNA from 1 species